UACGUAGGUGGCAAGCGUUGUCCGGAUUUACUGGGCGCAAAGAGCGCGCAGGCGGUCGUUCAAGUCGCGUGUGAAAGCCCCCGGCUCAACUGGGGAGGGUCACGCGAUACUGAUCGACUGGAAGGCAGGAGAGGGUAGUGGAAUUCCCGGUGUAGUGGUGAAAUGCGUAGAUAUCGGGAGGAACACCAGUGGCGAAGGCGACUACCUGGCCUGUUCUUGACGCUGAGGCGCGAAAGCUAGGGGAGCAAACGGG
rnacentral:rRNA from 1 species